rnacentral:tRNA from 1 species
GUCCUCAUAGCUCAGUCGGAUAGAGCGCUUGCCUUCUAAGCAAGAGGUCGGAGGUUCGAAUCCUCCUGGGGAUA